rnacentral:rRNA from 1 species
UACGGGGGGAGCAAGCGUUGUUCGGAUUUACUGGGCGUAAAGGGCGCGUAGGCGGUCGUGACAAGUCACUUGUGAAAUCUCCGGGCUUAACUCGGAACGGUCAAGUGAUACUGUCGGACUAGAGUACAGAAGGGGCAACUGGAAUUCUCGGUGUAGCGGUGAAAUGCGUAGAUAUCGAGAGGAACACCUGCGGUGAAGGCGGGUUGCUGGGCUGAUACUGACGCUGAGGCGCGAAAGCCAGGGGAGCGAACGGG